UUCUAAGUCUCCUCCUCCCUCGCGAAUAUCUCUCUGCUGAUUCCUUAUUUUUUCCUCCAAUCUGUUUCACUCAGGUUUCAAAAUUUUCAGGGUUUUUCUUAAAAGUGCUAUCGUUAUUACUUCUUCGGGCUGGGUGAUUGGCGAGGUUCAUAUCUUCUCUCCCAUUAGUGUUUGGCGUGAAGGGUUGUGGGUUCUGGUAAGGAACCUAAGGAAUUUUAAAUCCGGAUAUUGCAAAUGCAAAGUGGCUCUAACUCACUAUCUGUUUGGGACCGACUCUGAACUUCUCUGUCUUCUGCUAUGUGACUCUGAAUUCUCCUGACCGUGCCUGCAAUCUGGCCAAGCAGCAGGGAGUAAUGUAUGGCACUCUGUUCUGCUGCUACAAGGGCUACCUGUGGUGGUGUUAGAGCCAAUACCAGAAAAUUGUGUGUCAAGAGUGGAGGAGGACAAUAGAAGAGAGAGAGAUGAUGGGAGAUGGGGUUGAAGGCUAUAUCUGAAGGGAAAUUGGGCAUAUUACUUCUGUAUGGUGGGCAGGAUUGAAACUAAAAAUGCAGGGAACUCGACUUGGAAGUGUUGAUCCAAAGGGAUGUUUCAGUUUGGAGCUUAGAUACAUUUGUUUCCACUUUGUUUAUCCAAUAUAUUUCAUUUACUCUGUAUUUUACUUUGUAGGUCGUAUGAAUUUUUUUCCCAGCUGUAAUUGUGACUAAGGCGUAGAACCACAGCUCAAUUAAUAUUCGAGUUGGGUCAGAGGGCUUAUGAAAACUUGGUGUACCAGGUUUGUAGAAUAUGCUUGUGCUGUGUUUGAGUACACUUCAUUGUCUAUAUAGCUUAGACAGUGCAGACAGAUGUUAUGAACCUUAUUGUUGAAAUAAUAUAUGAGGAAAAAUCUUCA